UGUUAGGCUGGCAUGUGGAGCUGUACUAAUAAGCUAUGAGAAGGUCCUCACAUCACAACACCCGAGCAAGGCUGGCAAGGCUUGCUCGCCAUGGCCUACCACAUCGGCGAGACGGGGCGAGCACGUGAUCACCAUCAGCAGGUCCUUCGUCACAACACCCGAGCAAGCGAGAUGUUCAGACAAAGUUAUAUGAUACACUGCUAUUGACAUAUGUCGUAGAUGGACAGUACAUAUCGUUUCUCUCCAUGUUACAAUUUCUGUGACCUCGGCAUUUGGAAGACAUGUCAUCCGAAUCGUCUAUCAUAACUGAACCAUUACUAUCACAAGCAUCUUACUUUUAGAAUUC